rnacentral:rRNA from 1 species
GUUAACACAGACAGCCCCCCACACCCCACUGUCCGCCAAAGUAGUACAAGUGAAAAACUAGAAACUCAAAGGACUUGGCGGUACCCCACACCAACCUAGAGGAGCCUGUCCCAUAAUCGAUACUCCACGCUAAACCUAACCGACUCUCGACAACCAGCCUAUAUACCGCCGUCGCCAGCCUGCCUAAUGAUAGACACACAGCAGGCACAACAGCCCACGCUAAUACGUCAGGUCAAGGUGUAGCUAAUGAGUCGGGCAAAGAUGGGCUACAUUUUCUAUCCCACAAGAAAACCCACCACACACCCAAUGAAACUUGGGCCCUUAAGGCGGAUUUAGCAGUAAACCGGGUAAGACCUAACCCGAUUGAAGCCUGCUCUGGG